rnacentral:rRNA from 1 species
ACGCGAGGAACCUUACCAGGUCUUGACAUCCCAUUGACCGCUAUGGAGACAUAGCUUUCCCUUCGGGGACAGUGGUGACAGGUGGUGCAUGGUUGUCGUCAGCUCGUGUCGUGAGAUGUUGGGUUAAGUCCCGCAACGAGCGCAACCCUUGUUCUUAGUUGCCAUCAUUUAGUUGGGCACUCUAAGGAGACUGCCGGUGACAAACCGGAGGAAGGUGGGGAUGACGUCAAAUCAUCAUGCCCCUUAUGACCUGGGCUACACACGUGCUACAAUGGAUGGUACAAAGGGCUGCAAGACCGCGAGGUUUAGCCAAUCCCAUAAAACCAUUCUCAGUUCGGAUUGCAGGCUGCAACUCGCCUGCAUGAAGCUGGAAUCGCUAGUAAUCGCGGAUCAGCAUGCCGCGGUGAAUACGUUCCCGGGCCUUGCACUCACCGCCCGU